CCUACGGGAGGCUGCAGUGGGGAAUAUUGCACAAUGGGGGAAACCCUGAUGCAGCAACGCUGCGUGAGCGAUGAAGGCCUUCGGGUCGUAAAGCUCUGUCCUAAGGGAAGAAUACUGACGGUACCUUAGGAGGAAGCCCCGGCUAACUACGUGCCAGCAGGCGCGGUAAUACGUAGGGGGCGAGCGUUAUACGGAAUCAAUGGGCGUAAAGGGUGCGUAGGCGGUAGGGAAAGUCAGAUGUUAAAGCCCGGGGCUGAACAUCUGGAUUGUGUUUGAUACUGUCUUACUAGAGUGCAGGAGAGGAAAGCGUAAUUGCUAGUGUAGCUGUGUAUUGCGUAGUUAUUGGGCAGAACACCAGUGGCGUUGGCGGCUUUCUUGACUGUGACUGACGAUGAGGCACGAAAGUGUGGGAGUCGAACAGGAGUAUAUACCCCUCUAGUC
rnacentral:rRNA from 1 species